rnacentral:rRNA from 1 species
AAUAUUGGGCAAUGGGCGCAAGCCUGACCCAGCAACGCCGCGUGAAGGAAGAAGGCUCUCGGGUUGUAAACUUCUUUUCUGAGGGACGAAGAAAGUGACGGUACCUCAGGAAUAAGCCACGGCUAACUACGUGCCAGCAGCCGCGGUAAUACGUAGGUGGCAAGCGUUAUCCGGAUUUAUUGGGUGUAAAGGGCGUGUAGGCGGGAAUGCAAGUCAGAUGUGAAAACUAUGGGCUCAACCCAUAGCCUGCAUUUGAAACUAUCGUUCUUGAGUGUUGGAGAGGCAGGCGGAAUUCCGUGUGUAGCGGUGAAAUGCGUAGAUAUACGGAGGAACACCAGUGGCGAAGGCGGCCUGCUGGACAAUAACUGACGCUGAGGCGCGAAAGCGUGGGGAGCAAA